rnacentral:rRNA from 1 species
AGUGAACGCUGGCGGUAGGCCUAACACAUGCAAGUCGAACGGCAGCACAGUAAGAGCUUGCUCUUACGGGUGGCGAGUGGCGGACGGGUGAGGAAUACAUCGGAAUCUACUUUUUCGUGGGGGAUAACGUAGGGAAACUUACGCUAAUACCGCAUACGACCUACGGGUGAAAGCAGGGGAUCUUCGGACCUUGCGCGAUUGAAUGAGCCGAUGUCGGAUUAGCUAGUUGGCGGGGUAAAGGCCCACCAAGGCGACGAUCCGUAGCUGGUCUGAGAGGAUGAUCGGCCAAAUGGGAACGGAGAAACGGGCCAGAUCCUUAGGGGAGGCAGAAGGGGGGGAUUUGGACAAAGGGCGCAAGCCUGAUCCAGCCAUACCGCGUGGGUGAAGAAGGCCUUCGGGUUGUAAAGCCCUUUUGUUGGGAAAGAAAAGCAGCAGGUUAAUACCCCGCUGUUCUGACGGUACCCAAAGAAUGAGCACCGGCUAACUUCGUG